rnacentral:rRNA from 1 species
UACGUAGGGGGCAAGCGUUGUCCGGAAUUAUUGGGCGUAAAGAGCGUGUAGGCGGCCAGAUAAGUCCGCUGUGAAAUCUCGAGGCUCAACUUCGAGCUGUCGGUGGAAACUAUCUGGCUAGAGUCCGGAAGAGGAGAAUGGAAUUCCUGGUGUAGCGGUGAAAUACGCAGAUAUCAGGAAGAACACCCGUGGCGAAGGCGGUUCUCUGGGACGGUACUGACGCUGAGACGCGAAAGCGUGGGGAGCGAACAGG